UGCCACAAUGAUGACAUCAUAUUUGCUACUCUUGACAGUUGGAUGACGAUAGCCUUAAACCACCGAAAUUUGUAACUGAGGCA